UGGGGAAUAUUGCACAAUGGGCGCAAGCCUGAUGCAGCCAUGCCGCGUGUAUGAAGAAGGCCUUCGGGUUGUAAAGUACUUUCAGCGGGGAGGAAGGCGUUAAGGUUAAUAACCUUGGCGAUUGACGUUACCCGCAGAAGAAGCACCGGCUAACUCCGUGCCAGCAGCCGCGGUAAUACGGAGGGUGCAAGCGUUAAUCGGAAUUACUGGGCGUAAAGCGCACGCAGGCGGUCUGUCAAGUCGGAUGCGAAAUCCCCGGGCUCAACCUGGGAACUGCAUUCGAAACUGGCAGGCUGGAGUCUUGUAGAGGGGGUAGAAUUUCCAGGUGUAGCGGUGAAAUUGCGUAGAGAUCUGGAGGAAUACCGGUGGCGAAGGCGGCCCCCCUGGACAAAGACUGACGCUCAGGUGCGAAAGCGUGGGAGCAAACA
rnacentral:rRNA from 1 species